ACAGCAGCCGCGGUAAGACAGAGGAUGCAAGCGUUAUCCGGAAUGAUUGGGCGUAAAGCGUCUGUAGGUGGCUUUUCAAGUCCGCCGUCAAAUCCCAGGGCUCAACCCCGGAUGUGCCUUUGAGACUGUGAGGCUUGAACGUCGGAGAGGUGAGUGGAGUUCCGAGUGUAGAGGUGAAAUUCGUAGAUAUUCGGAAGAACACCAGUGGCGAAGGCGACUCUCUGGUCUGUAACUGACGCUGAGGAGCGAAAGCGUGGGGAGCGAACAGGAUCAGAGACCCCGUAGUCCCUGUCUCUUAUACACAU
rnacentral:rRNA from 1 species